rnacentral:rRNA from 2 species
UCUGACGGAGCAACGCCGCGUGAGUGAUGAAGGUUUUCGGAUCGUAAAACUCUGUUGUUAGGGAAGAACAAGUACCGUUCGAAUAGGGCGGUACCUUGACGGUACCUAACCAGAAAGCCACGGCUAACUACGUGCCAGCAGCCGCGGUAAUACGUAGGUGGCAAGCGUUGUCCGGAAUUAUUGGGCGUAAAGCGCGCGCAGGCGGUUUCUUAAGUCUGAUGUGAAAGCCCCCGGCUCAACCGGGGAGGGUCAUUGGAAACUGGGGAACUUGAGUGCAGAAGAGGAGAGUGGAAUUCCACGUGUAGCGGUGAAAUGCGUAGAGAUGUGGAGGAACACCAGUGGCGAAGGCGACUCUCUGGUCUGUAACUGACGCUGAGGCGCGAAAGCGUGGGGAGCGAACAGGAUUAGAUACCCUGGUAGUCCACGCCGUAAACGAUGAGUGCUAAGUGUUAGAGGGUUUCCGCCCUUUAGUGCUGCAGCAAACGCAUUAAGCACUCCGCCUGGGGAGUACGGUCGCAAGACUGAAACUCAAAGGAAUUGACGGGGGCCCGCACAAGCGGUGGAGCAUGUGGUUUAAUUCGAAGCAACGCGAAGAACCUUACCAGGUCUUGACAUCCUCUGACAACCCUAGAGAUAGGGCUUCCCCUUCGGGGGCAGAGUGACAGGUGGUGCAUGGUUGUCGUCAGCUCGUGUCGUGAGAUGUUGGGUUAAGUCCCGCAACGAGCGCAACCCUUGAUCUUAGUUGCCAGCAUUCAGUUGGGCACUCUAAAGGUGACUGCCGGUGACAACCGGAGGAAGGUGGGGAUGACGUCAAUCAUCAUGCCCCUUAUGACC